rnacentral:lncRNA from 1 species
AUGAAGACUUCAAAGAAAAGUUUUUAGAUUUCAAAUGUAUAUGCAUUGAUUAGUGCGAUGCCCCUAUCACAUACUUAUUCAAACAAAUUGACAUUCAACUUAAGACUUUCGCCUUGUUUUAUCAUGUUAGUCUAAGACAGUCCACACAUAAGUUUUCGCCAUAGAAUCCAAAUUCACAUUUGUAUAUUCCUACAACUGUAAAGUCACCCCCAAACUAUACUAACUUUGGUCUAAGGAUAAAUAAUUUACUAUAGUUUAGAUAAAGCAUCUAUGUCUAAUUAAAUCAACACAUUUAACAAAUGAAUCAACUCGUUUCAUCAUAACGUCAAACUCAAUUCUAGUGCACGUAUAGCAUCAAUUUUUGUAAGAUUAGGUUUCAGUCAAUCUAGCACGCAUCAUAUCCACAGUUCAUAAAUCAACAGCAAAUCUCAAAGGAAAUCAUCAUUGUUAGCCAUAUUGUCCAACUCACACAAAAAUUUAGGUAAGCAAUUAAUAAUGUACCCUCCAAACUUAAUCUAAACACUGUCCUCAAUAUGAAAUUUAAAGGAAAAUGAGGAGGUUUCCUUGAAAUGUCAGGAUUGCCUAUAAUGUUGUGGUGCCUUGGUGUUGAAUUUGAUCAACUUUUCUUCCAUAUUCUCCACCAAACUUGAGAUUUAUCCCGGGUUCUCCUUAUCAAUAGUGGUUUAAGUGUUUUGCGAUGUUACGUCAUUGAAAAAUCAAAUUUGAAAUAUUAGAUGCAUGGAACAAGGUUUACUUAGCUCAAAUAUCUAAUAACUAACUUAGUUACUUAAUGACCUAAGGGUAAAAGGGAUAUGGACGAUGACUCCUAAAUAGACUAAUAAAUAAAUUAAAAUAUCUUAUAACUUGAAAAUAAAAUAAAAAAAGAAGAAAGCUUGAGUUGCCUCCCAAUAAGUGCUUCUUUAAAGUCAUUAGCUUGACUUUUGCAUAAGUGAUUCAUGGCAUUUUGAAUAUGGUUGUGAAGGUUCUGCUUAGCUUGCUUAAUUUGAUUUUAGUCCAUAUUUCACACAUCCUCCAAAAUUGUGCUUUGUUAUUUUAAAUAUGAUAUGACUUGCUUGAAUUGCUCAAUUUGAACUCAACUAAGAAUGCUUCAAUUUUUUCAUCAACUUUAAUCACAAAAUCAAUGAAGUUGGAGGUUUGCAUGCUAAUCACAUCUUCUUUGAAUGCCACUAAUUCAUUUGGAUCCUUCGUGAUUAAUUUAUUCGUUUCUACAUGUUCUUCUUCUUUAGUUGGUUCCUCAGGUUAAGUAAUGAAGAGAUAUUCCGUUGGCAUGCUACUUGGCUUUUCCGAAAUUAUUUGAUCUUCAAUUCUUUCAUCUUUGUCCAUGAUGAUGUCUCCCAUAAUCAUUUCACUGUAAUCAAAUUAUUCUUCAUAUGGAUAAUCAAAGAUAUAUUUCCUCACUUCCAUUGGAGUUGCCAAUAACAAGCAAUCUUUAGCAUAAUGAAUUGCACCACAAUAUUCACAAGUCGGUCUAAUCUCUCCAUAAACAAUAGAUUUGAUAUUUAAUCCUUUAAGGAAGCCAUCCUUAUCAAAUUCAAUAGGCUGAUUGUAUCCCUACUUUUUAAGUUCUUGUCUAAAGAGAACUUCUCCAAAGAGCAUUUCAUAUUCAUUUAAGUCGGGAUCAAUUAUUGUGAAUUUUUUUGACCUCUUGUUUCUUUUUAUUCGUUGUCAAAGGAGGAAGGAAAAAUAAAUAGUUCAAUUGAAAAAAUUAAGAAAGACAAAAAAAUCAAAUAAAAGCAAGAAAUAAUUAAAACCAAUAUUAAAUAAAAAUAGUCUCAUGCAACAACGCCAAAAACUUGUUGUCAAUUUUGUAUCCCGCAAGCAUACGGAUCGUAACAAGUAAUCGUUCCCACAAGGACUACUAUUUAACAAUUGGUUCAAUUAUUCCUAACUUUAAUUUGAUCGAAAACAAACAAAGAAUUAGAUGUUUUGAUUUUUGAUACAACUGUUUGAAAAUAUGUGUGGAUGCACACAAAGAGUGAUUUAGAACUUAAAUAGUGAACAAAUAUUAGGGUAGAAUAAUUUCACCAAUUGGUCACAUUUACAUCUUAAAUUAAGAUUCACAUCUAAUGUAGUCUUUGGUCGAAUUCUCCUAUUAUAUUCAUUUUACCCCUCAUGAGUUCUUAUUGAACUUAUUUAACUAAUUAAAUUCCAUAUCUAUAAGCAAAUCCAACUUAGUUGGUUCUUUGUCCUAGGAAUUCAACCGCAAUAAUUAGUAUAGGUAUGUCUACUCAAUAUACCAAUUUAUCGAAUUUUACUAUAUCCCUAAUUUUAAAGGAUUCAUGAAAUCAUCAAAUUAGUGAUCAAAUAAUUUAAUGCAUUCAAUCCAUAGUAAAAUCAACACAUGGAAAAAUUAAAAAUCAAGAAUCUUAAUAAAAAAUAUAAAGGAUUCCAAUUGGUUACAUUAUUCACCCUAACAAUAGAUUUAGCUAGUCAUAAUGAAAAAGGAAAGAUCUACAAAUUGCCAUAGAAUAUAUCAUUGGAUUUUGUAUCAAAAGUAUAGAAAAAAAGUAGAUCUUGCACCAAGAAUUUCUUCAUCUUCAAUUGAUGCUUUACAUUCUGAAUUUCCCGAUGUUUUCUCCCUUGAAUUCAUCCUUUGAUUCUC